GGGUCCGUGGUCUAGUGGUAUGACGUCGCCUUGACGUGGCGAAGGUCGCCGGUUCGAUCCCGGCCGGACCCA
rnacentral:tRNA from 1 species